AUUGAACGCUGGCGGCAGGCUUAACACAUGCAAGUCGAGCGAGCGGCGGACGGGUGAGUAGUGUCUGGGAAACUGCCUGUUGGAGGGGGAUAACUACUGGAAACAGUAGCUAAUACCGCAUACCAUCAGUGUGGCCCGGAUGGGAUUAGCUUGUGGGGGGGGUAAUGGCUCACCUAGGCGACGAUCCCUAUCUGGUCUGGAAGGAUGACGAGCCAACCUGGAAUUGGGAACGGGUCCAGAUUCCUACGGGAGGAAGCAUGGGGAAAUAUUGGACAAUGGGCGCAAGCCGGAUGCAGCCAUGCCGCGUGUGUGAAGAAGGCUUUCGGGUUGUAAAGCACUUUCAGCGAGGAGGCGUUACUCGCAGAAGAAGCACCGGCUAACUCCGUGCCAGCCGCCGCGGUAAUAC
rnacentral:rRNA from 1 species